GCACCUACCGAUUGAAUGGUUCGGUGAAAAUCUCGGACUGCGGCCUGGAUGCCUUCGAGCAACCAAGCUGUGGAAAGUUGUUUAAACCUCAUCAUUUAGAGGAAGGUGAAGUCGUAACAAGGUUUCCGUAGGUGAACCUGCAGAAGGAUCAAGAGUGGAAGAGAACACGCGUGAAAACCAGGCACGUGGCCGCAUAACGCAUGCUGACUUGUGCUAGAAAAAAAAAAAACAGACUGUAAAUUGGUUGUUGAACACAACCGCCCUCACCAAAGUACUU
rnacentral:misc_RNA from 1 species